rnacentral:rRNA from 1 species
GACGAACGCUGGCGGCAUGCCUAACACAUGCAAGUCGAACGAACCCUUCCGGGUUAGUUGCGCACGUGUGCGGAACGCCUGGUAAUCUGCCCUUUACUUCGGUGUCACUCACGGAAACUUAAGCUAAUACCGCUUGGUGUCUUCGGAGCAAGGAUUUACCGGCGGGGGAUGGGCCCGCGUAGGUUUGGGUGGUUGGGGGGGUAGGGGCCUACCAAGCCGACGAUAGUUAGCUGGUCUGAGAGGAUGGUCGGCCACACUGGGACGGAGAUACGGCCCAGCCUCCUCCGGGAGGGAGCAGUGGGGAAGAAUGUACAAGGGGCGGAAGCCUGAUGCAGCAACGCCGCGUGCGGGAUGAGGGCCAUCGGGUUGUAAACCACUUUCGCCUGUGACGGAGCGUGAGUGACGGUAAUGGGUAAAGAAGCACCGGCUAACUACGUG